AGUGAACGCUGGCGGCAGGCCUAAUACAUGCAAGUCGAACGGCAGCACAGUGGAGCUUGCUCCAUGGGUGGCGAGUGGCGGACGGGUGUGGAAUACAUGGGAAUCUGCUCAGUCGUUGGGGUUAACGUAGGAAAACUUACGCUAAUACCGCAUGCGCCCUUCGGGGGAAAGCCGGGGACCUUCGGGCCUGCCGCGAUUGGCUGAGCCCAUGUUCGAUUAGCUAGUUGGUGGGGUAAAGGCCCACCAAGGCGACGAUCGAUAGCUGGUCUGAGAGGAUGAUCGGCCACACUGGGACUGAGACACGGCCCAGACUCCUACGGGAGGUAGCAGUAGGGAAUAUUGGGCAAUGGGCGCAAGCCUGACCCAGCCAUGCCGCGUGAGUGAAGAAGGCCUUCGGGUUGUAAAGCUCUUUUGUCCGGGAAGAAAAGCAGCGGGCUAAUACCUCGGUGUUCUGGCGGUACCGGAAGAGUAAGCACCGGCUAACUUCGUG
rnacentral:rRNA from 1 species